AUCCUCAACCCACUGAGCAAGGCCAGGGAGUGAACCUGCAACCUCAUGGUUCCUAGUCGGAUUCGUUAACCACUGUGCCACAACGGGAACUCCUUAGUUCCUAUUCUUAAUGAAAACAUUUUCUGCCUGAAUUUUUUAGUGUGGCGUUAUUAAACAAUGAAAACAUCUUUUCCAUACUUUUCAAAGUCUACCAGUUCCCUAUAUGUUUUGUUGGUUUGUACUAUAAAUGAACUCUAAAUAUUUUAGGAAAAAGUUUUAUGAUAGAUAAGUUCUUUUUAAAAUUUAGCACCUAAUUUUUUAAAAAUCAAAAUGAAAAAUUUCUUGCAUAAAGGGGAACGUUUACCUUUUACUUUGUUUUUCUUCCAUGUGGUAAAUCUUUUCCUUUACAAAGGAAGUGUGCUUACAGAAUUACUGAGGUGGUUUUUAGAAAGCAGUAAUCAUAGAAACCCCGUCCGUGCUUGCCCUAAUCUGUCUCCCCAAAGCCCUUGGUCUGAAAGCCAGCCGUGGCUCUUGUCCUUAUUACAUGUGACUCGUGGAACAGGAUUGUGCUGUUCACUGUGUACACUGGCACGGUGCCCUAGCAGCCCCUGUGAUGCUGCCUCAACAUCAGGAAGCUGUUUGUGAGUUUUACACCGUAUUGUAUACUAUAUUACAGUGUAUUUACUCUGUUGAUAAGUUACAGAAUAUCUGUAGUAUUUCUGCAUAAUCUAUAAAAAUACGACAUUAGAAAAUCUAGGGACUGUAAAUAUGAAAACAUGAAAAAAAGUUCUUUGGCACAAAAUCCCCUCCAAAAUAUGAAUAAUAUUUGCAUUGAGAGCCAUGAGAUUAAAUAUGCUUCAUUUUAUUAAAAAAUACUUUGGGUGAGACUAACUGGGUAUGGCGAUUUGGUUAAUUUUAGUGCAAAAUAGGAAUAAUAUUUGCAUUAAGAGCCAUGAGAUUAAAUAUGCUUCAUUUUAUUUAAAAAUACUUUGGGCGAGGCUAACUGGGUAUGGCGAUUUGGUUAAUUUUAGUGCAAAAUAGGAAUAAUAUUUGCAUUAAGAGCCAUGAGAUUAAAUAUGCUUCAUUUUAUUUAAAAAUACUUUGGGCGAGGCUAACUAGGUAUGGCAAUUUGGUUAAUUUUAGUGCAAAAUAGGAAUAAUACUUGCACUGAGAGCCAUGAGAUUAAAUAUGCUUCAUUUUAUUUAAAAAUACUUUGGGCGAGGCUAACUAGGUAUGGCAAUUUGGUUAAUUUUAGUGCCAAGUAUGAAUAAUACUUGCACUGAGAGCCGUGAGAUUAAAUAUGCUUCAUUUUAUUAAAAAAUACUUUGGGCUAGGCUAACUAGGUAUGGCGAUUUGGUUAAUUUUAGUGCUUUUUUUAUUUUUAUUAUUUUUGGCUGUGCCUGUGGCACACGGAAUUUCCUGGGGUCUAACCCGCACCUCAGCAGCAACCCAAGCCUCUGCAGUGACAACGCUGGAUCCCUGACCCGUUGUGCCAGGAGAGAGCUCCCAGGUCCACCGCAGGUCCCCCAGCUCUGGUGGAGAACUCACCCUGGGGCGGUGCCGGUGUCAUACUGGCCUCAGGGAGCUGCCACUCAGCCAGGACGCUUUUGCCGACCUCUCCGUGUUCAUGGAGGGAUAGAACUGUUCAGCUAAACAUGCUGAUGUGGCAAAGGAGCAGCACAAAGAUCCAUGCCCCGAGGGGGACCUCCAGCAGGAAAGGACAGGCGUGGGAUCCAGCAUGGUACCCUUCUGGUGGGAGCAGCAGCGAAGGCUCCAGCGGGCAGCUCACGGACCCUGGGAAGGACGCAUCCUGCUCCCUCCUCCCCCCGGUAGAACGUCCUUUGGGCCAUGUGACCUGGUGAAUCCCUGUGAAACCAGCACUGAAGCUCCAGAUGACUGGCAAAUGCUGUUUCAAGCGAGCCGGAAGUGUCUUAGCUGCCCGAGCCCCUCUGCUCAGCUUUCGUCCAUCUGCAUUUGUCCUGGCCUCCUUCUCUUCGCUCCCGGUCAGCGCAGAUUGGCCCCCGGUCCCCCUGCACGAUCCCAGGGCGCUGCCCAUAACCUGGGCACUCCCCGCCAGAGUGGUGUCUCCUGCCCAGCCCAGGCCUUGAAGCUGUGCUCUUCUGACGAGAAUCGGCUGAAAGGUGUUGCAUACGCCCCUGUUUCCGGUGAUCAGAAGCCACCAGUCGUGAGCUUGCAGAGCUUGGAGGGGUGAACACACACCACUGGCCGGUCCCAGAAAUAAGGAAGGGGAUUGGCUCCUGAAUUCAUGCAGGGGCUCUGGCCCCACUGUGCGGUUCAGAGGCCCUGCUCACACCUGCACUUCGGUGGAAGAGUGGACCCAGAUUCACUUCCGGGGACGAGGCCACGGGCUCAGGUCUUCUCGGAACCACGCCAUUUGCAGACCCUGAGAUCAACAGCUCCCAAAGGCCCUAGAUCGUGCUAAUGUGUGACCUACAUAUACGGAAAACCCAUCAAGUCUCACUUGGAAGAAAAUUCUAAACCAUUAAAGGGGAACUUUAUUAUCAUCAAAAAGCAUUUUUGAUGAUGUCUUUCUGCACACCGUUCAUUUUCUUCUCGUUUGCUCCUGUCUGUGACUGCGUCUAUACAACAUCACACACAAGAAAGAAAGGGAACAAGUCAGUCAAAGAAGUUUUUCAUGUUAUGCAGAUAACACUCCUGGAGGAUUUAAUUUCUUCUUUUCCGCCACAUGGACGGUCUUGUUGAGACUUGGUGUCCUUUACUACGAUGACAAGCGCUUCCUUGUCUCAGUCCAACCUUCACCCUCACAUGAAUUUUUAAAAAUCUUUAAUUUUUGAGAAGCUCUUCUCCACUUUUGAAAGACAGAGGCUUCCCCAAACCUUUGAGGAUGCUCAUAGAAAGGGGUGCAGUAUUAACUGUGAACCCCCCUCUCCCCAGGCUUCCUUGGAUGAUGUUGAAGAUCAUGAAAUGAAGGAAAGGAUGUUUGGAUCAGAACAGGAAGCUCUGCACUUUGCUGAGCCCCACGAAUAUGGGAGCAGUUGUCAAAAAUCAGACCUGGACCCUCUGCCGACCUUGCUUCAUGUGAAGCCUCCACAAGCAUCAAUAUUCCUUGGCGGCGGAAAGGGCUAGUGCUGCCCGUGACCGUGGCCUUGGGUCUGGCUGGUGCUGUCUUGCUCACAUUGACUCUGAGCCAAAUUGUUCUUGUUAGUAGCAACCAGCGUGGUUUCCCAAGUGAUUUAGGCUGUGCUGCCCCACUUCAGCUUGAUUGUCAACACUCUACACGGGAUCUAGUUACAGUUUGAUCGCUUCCCUUUUCUUGGCAAAGAAAACAUUUGCUAUCAUCUACGCUCACCAUGGAUGCCAAGUUCGUUUAAACUCAUUACCCUUCCUCUCCUGUUCUCACUUCCCAUGCGUGCCACAAAUAUCACCGUGACCUGGCAGCAUCAACAACACGACGGAACACCCGAGUGUAGCAAAGAAAGUCUGAUGAAAACCCCACGUUUUUAUACUAUUGGGCGACAGCCUUUCGAAUUACACUUUUAAACUGUAUCAGCCUAGUUUUAAGAAUGGGAAACAGGAAAUUGGCAGGAAAUCCCACUGCCAACAUGUUUAUGAUGUCUUUACGGACUGCAUUUUACAGGGAAACUGAAAAACUUGAGGGGGUUUGUCUUACCCCACUUAAUUCAAGGUUUCUUUGUUCUGCAUAGAUUAAUUGCCAUAAAUGGAGCAACCAUAAAUGGAGCAUUGGUUUUGUCUUCAGGAAACUGCUGGAAGUUCCCAGGCUCUCCCCGUAAUCUCCAUCAGCUACCCUCAACUGCCCGCGAAUAAGCAGGAAUCUAAGGAAAAACAGCACCUGCCACGCAGAAACACGGCUUCUAGGACCGGCCCCAGGUAUUGGAGGAUGGACUCAGCGCAACGAAGGAGGAAAAUUAGAAGAGAUAUAAGAGAGGCCCUUACCUCCUAAGUUCACGGAGUCAGCGCCCAAAGCCCCUGACACAGAGCUGAGAGCCGGAAGCCCCCUGGGUUGACUGGCUUGUGCUCACCUAGGCCUUGGAGGGGAACGUGAGUCACCUGGUGACAAGGCUGCCGUGACAAACAGACUUUCUCUAAUAAGCGGUUGGCGUCUUUGGCCAUUUGUAGGACAUCGCUGGCUUUACCCAAGCGAAGGGCUCUUGGUGUAAAUUCGAGGCUGUUGGGGAGAUCACGUCCUAUGAAAACAAAGAAAGAGGGAAAAGGAAAUGCUGACCCUCCCCAGAGCCGAAAAAGCAGGACUAAAUUUCCAACAGGUUCUGUUGGUGGAGCGGUAAUCACGACGAGAGGGUGAAUCCAGCGCCAAGAUGAAGGCGGAGAAAGGAAAUCUGUCCCUUGAGGUUGAAACAAAACCACGGGGAAGGAAAAGGACAAAAUGAGUGGGAGAAGUAAUUUUUUUCCUAACCAGGAGAACAGAAAACUGAAGAUAAGUCCUCCUUCCUCUGAAGAAGGGCUGGACCUCGUCUUCUCUAUGUCGCCUCUGUCCCCUCACUCACAUGCUUGCCUUUCAUUGCGCCAUCCAGUCCUCCAGGGAGAAAAAGAAUCUUGCGGAGUUCCCGUCGUGGCGCAGUGGUUAACGAAUCCGACUAGGAACCAUGAGGUUGCGGGUUCGG